ensembl:rRNA 5S_rRNA 5S ribosomal RNA
GCUUACGGCCAUACCACUCUGAACACGCCCGAUCUCGUCUGAUCUCGGAAGCUAAGCAGGGUCGGGCCUGGUUAGUACUUGGAUGGGAGACCGCCUGGGAAUACCAGGUGCUGUAAGCU